rnacentral:rRNA from 1 species
UACAGAGGUCUCGAGCGUUAGGCGGAAUCACUGGGCUUAAAGCGUGUGUAGGCGGGUCGGUAAGUACCUUGUGAAAUCCCACGGCUCAACCGUGGAACUGCUGGGUAUACUGGCCGAUCUUGUGCAACCUAGGGGCGGAGCGGAACAGAUGGUGGAGCGGUGAAAUGCGUAGAUAAUCGAUCUGGAACGCCAAGUGGUGAAAACA